rnacentral:rRNA from 1 species
UAGAGUUUGAUCAUGGCUCAGGACGAACGCUGGCGGCGUGCUUAACACAUGCAAGUCGAACGCUGAAGCUUGGUGCUUGCACUGGGUGGAUGAGUGGCGAACGGGUGAGUAAUACGUGAGUAACCUGCCCUUGACUCUGGGAUAAGCCUGGGAAACUGGGUCUAAUACUGGAUAUGACAUGUCACCGCAUGGUGGUGUGUGGAAAGGGUUUUACUGGUUUUGGAUGGGCUCACGGCCUAUCAGCUUGUUGGUGGGGUAAUGGCUCACCAAGGCGACGACGGGUAGCCGGCCUGAGAGGGUGACCGGCCACACUGGGACUGAGACACGGCCCAGACUCCUACGGGAGGCAGCAGUGGGGAAUAUUGCACAAUGGGCGGAAGCCUGAUGCAGCGACGCCGCGUGAGGGAUGACGGCCUUCGGGUUGUAAACCUCUUUCAGCACGGAAGAAGCGAAAGUGACGGUACGUGCAGAAGAAGCGCCGGCUAACUACGUGCCAGCAGCCGCGGUAAUACA